CUGGCAUAUCCGUGACAAUAGACUUAUGUUUCAAUUCCUAAAUAAACGUAGCUAAAAUGGUUACCAGUUCCAUCUUAUUUCAAACAUGUUAAAUCCAUUCGCUGCUGUUUCCUUGGUCUAUUCGUAGUUUUAUUCUUUAUAAAUAUUAAAUGUUACAACUCAAAUAAAACAUAUCUCCAUCUACUACUUCUUUAGAAUAUGUGCAAUUAGUAAGUAUGUGCUGUACUGAGAAAAGAAUAGAAAACCUCAAAGUUUUGCUCAAAGUACUUAGAGAGGAAGGGAGGUUUUUAAGGAGGAAGACACAAUGCUGCAGUGGUUAUGUUUUGCCACCUCACAACUCCGGGUUUUCUGGAUCCUUUGGUUACUUCCUUUGUGGAGUUUUGUGUGUUGUGCCUGUGCCCAAGGGGGUUUAUUUGGGGUUCUCUGGUUUUCUCAUUCAAAGAAAAAUGCCAGUGGGUAUACUGGUGAAUCUAAUUUACCACCAGGUGUGAAUGAGUGUUUGGUGCCUUACAAUGGACUGGAAUCUUGAUUAAGGUCAAAGCAGUUACUGAAGGUCAAUGAAUGAAUGAAUGAACGAGAUAUUUAUAUAUAAAAAAAAGCUACAGCGUCAAUGUUAAGGGUUUCUUUCAGGUCUGCCUCAUUGUAAAGCAUGACUAUUCAAGCUUUCUUUUUGUAGUUUCAAAUUUAACAUAUAUACUUCACAUGUAUUCUAAGACAUUAUAAUAAACAUAUAUUUGCAACCAA